rnacentral:rRNA from 1 species
CAAGAGCGUAUAUUAAAGUUGUUGCAGUUAAAAAGCUCGUAGUUGGAUUUCUGGUAUAAUGCGCCUGGCCCGCUCCGUUUCGGAGUGAGUGCCGGUGCGCGUUUGCCAUCCUUCUAGAAAACGUUUCUACCCUUCGCUGGGCCGGAUUCGCGAUCUAGAUCUUUUACUUUGAAAAAAUUAGAGUGUUUAAAGCAGGCUUUUGCUAUGAAUACAUUAGCAUGGAAUAAUAAUCUAGGACUUCGGUUCUAUUUUGUUGGUUUCUAGUACUGAAGUAAUGAUUGAUAGGGAUAGUUGGGGGUGCUAGUAUUGACCGGCCAGAGGUGAAAUUCUUGGAUUCGGUCAAGACUAACUUAUGCGAAAGCAUUCACCAAGGAUGUCUNCUUUAA